rnacentral:rRNA from 1 species
UACAGAGGUCUCAAGCGUUGUUCGGAUUCAUUGGGCGUAAAGGGUGCGUAGGCGGCGCGGUAAGUCGGGUGUGAAAUCUCGGGGCUUAACUCCGAAACUGCAUUCGAUACUGCCGUGCUUGAGGACUGGAGAGGAGACUGGAAUUUACGGUGUAGCGGUGAAAUGCGCAGAUAUCAGGAGGAACACCGAUGGCGAAGGCAGGUCUCUGGGCCGAUACUGACGCUGAGGAGCGAAAGCGUGGGGAGCGAACAGG